AACCAACCUAAGAACUAGAAAUAACGGUUUACCCAUUCAGUCUAAGCGAUGUAACACAGACAUCGGAAGGAGUUUCUUUUCAAACCGAGUCAUCCGUCAAUGGAACAAUCUUCCUUCAGAAGUAGUAAAUGCGAAUACUAUCAACUCCUUCAAAUAUAGAAUCGACCGUCACUUCGCUGCGUCGGGAGUAAACUGAAUAUUGAGUUGCUUUCAUCUGCUCCUCAAUAUCGAGGUGCUUUCAUCUACUCCUCAAUGUCGAGGUGCUUUCAUCUGCUCCCCAGGCCCCAGGCUGUCGAGCAGAUUAAAUCACCAAAGCGGGCAACCUCGUAAUGAGCCAAUAGGCUUUCUGUUGCCUGCGUUUCCAUGUUUCCAUGUUUCCAUGUUUCUCACAUCAUCUAUUUCUAAAGGUCAAAGAGGGAUGUCAGUCAGGUUCUAACGAGUGCGGGUUAUAAUUAUGCUGUAGACUGUAUGGGGAGGCUCAGCGGAAACUGCUGGGAACGAAUAAAGAAAAAAAUGUUUUGGAAGUGAGUGAUAUCUGUUCGAUCGGAGAGAUGCUGUGGCCUUGGCUUCGAAUGGAUGAAUGAAUGACGUAGUUAAUUAGAGUAUUAUAUGUUGGGUACAAAUACUUCAUUCCACAACACCGCAACAGAAGAGAGUUAAUGGCAUACAAGGAUAAAUUCAGGUGCUAACAAAGCCUAUUUUAAUAGUCACGCCCGAGGGUUGAGACGCAGCAGACAGCAUGGCGUGCAGCGGGAAGCACUCAUAGCACCAGUUUUUGACAUUUUCCGGCAAAGUGACGCGACGCAGGGACGUGAGGAACCUGGGACACGAUGAGGGUGAGCAAACACGUCCUUGGCGAGGCUUGCUACGUUGUGUUACUUGAUAAAUGAUUUGAUAUAUGGAUGCAAUGGGUGCCACGUGUGUGUGUGUGUGUGUGUGUGUGUGUUACCUGACAGGGGUGUAAGGUGUGACAGAGGGUGAGUUUAGGGUGAUUUAGGUGACGGGUGUAGGGUGUGACAGGGGGUGACCCAGGGGUGUAAGGUGUGACAAGUGUGUGUAACUUGUGACCGAGGGUGAGUUAGGGGUGAUUUAGGUGACGGGUGUAAGGUGUGGCAGGGGUGUGUAACAUGUGACAGAGGGUGAGUUAGGGGUGAUUUAGGUGACGGGUGUAAGGUGUGACAAGGGUGUGUAACGUGUGACGGGGUGACAGGGGUGGUUUAGGUGACGGCUGUAAGGUGUGACAGGGGUGUGUAACGUGUGACGGGGUGACAGGGGUGAUUUAGAUGACAGGGGUGAGGUGUAAAACGAGGCUGAGUUAAAGAGGGAGUGGGACAUCCGGGUUGCCACAGUGUCCCUCCCCCAGGCGCCCCCAGGGUAGGACACAUUUAUCCCCAGCCCGAGUGAAGUAUUCUGGGCUGCACGCCGACUGUCCGGACCGGGAAUCGAACCUUUGCCCGCGGAUUCAUAGCUAGGCACGCCAACCACUUCACCACGCACGGAGGGCCCGGUAUCUUCUAAUGUAAUAUCUUCAAAUACAUGACAGAUAGCGACUUACAGGAAGCUUAUGCCAGAAAACAUUAAAGGAAUGUCUUGAAAUGUUAGGUGAUGGUGCAGAUGUGAAGUUACCGAGUUAAAAAGACUUCAUAUUGGAUUGAUAGUUAGUCAUUUGUUUAAUCUCUUCUCAUAUAAGUAUUGCUGUGACCUCGUGUGUGUGUGUGUGUGUGUGUGUGUGUGUUUACCUAGUUGUGACAUACGUGUGUGUGUGCGUAUGUGUGCUGUAGAGCCUAAUAAGAUAGUGUAAAACAUGAUAGAGUUCAGUAAAACAAUAAGAUAUGAUAAAAUGUAAUGAAAUGUAUAAUAAAACAUAUAUAAUAAACAACCCGAAAACAUAAAACCUUAACAUUACAUUAUAUAACUCUUACUUCAAAUAUUAUUAACAUUAACAACUAAUCUAACCAAACUGAACCUUAACUAACCACACAUAACAAUAGUAGUAGUAGUAGUAGUAGUAGUAGCAGCAG